UUAGUCUUUUAAUUGAAGGCUGGUAUGAAUGGUUGGAUGAAAUAUUAACUGUUUCAUUUAAAUUUAUUAUAGAAUUUUAUUUUUUAGUCAAAAAGCUAAAAUAUUAUUAAAAGACGAGAAGACCCUAUAAAUCUUUAUAUUUUUGUUUUAUUAAUUAUUUGGAUAUUUUUAAUUAUUAAAAAGUAAAAUAUUUUAUUGGGGUGAUAUUAAAAUUUAAUAAACUUUUAAUUUGUAAAUACAUAAAUUAAUGAUUUUUUGAUCCGUUAUUAGCGAUUAAAAAUUUAAGUUACUUUAGGGAUAACAGCGUAAUUUUUUUGGAGAGUUCAUAUCGAUAAAAAAGAUUGCGACU
rnacentral:rRNA from 1 species